rnacentral:rRNA from 1 species
CCGGCGAUGGUUCAUUCAAAUUUCUGCCCUAUCAACUUUCGAUGGUAGAGUAGUGGCCUACCAUGGUUUCAACGGGUAACGGGGAAUUAGGGUUCUAUUCCGGAGAGGGAGCCUGAGAAACGGCUACCACAUCCAAGGAAGGCAGCAGGCGCGCAAAUUACCCAAUCCCGACACGGGGAGGUAGUGACAAUAAAUACUGAUACAGGGCUCUUUUGGGUCUUGUAAUUGGAAUGAGUACAAUUUAAAUCCCUUAACGAGGAACAAUUGGAGGGCAAGUCUGGUGCCAGCAGCCGCGGUAAUUCCAGCUCCAAUAGCGUAUAUUAAAGUUGUUGCAGUUAAAAAGCUCGUAGUUGAACCUUGGGCCUGGCUGGCCGGUCCGCCUCACCGCGUGCACUGGUCCGGCCGGGCCUUUCCUUCUGGGGAGCCGCAUGCCCUUCACUGGGUGUGUCGGGGAACCAGGACUUUUACUUUGAAAAAAUUAGAGUGUUCAAAGCAGGCCUAUGCUCGAAUACAUUAGCAUGGAAUAAUAGAAUAGGACGUGUGGUUCUAUUUGUGGUUUCUAGGACCGGCGUAAUGAUUAAUAGGGAUAGUCGGGGGCAUCAAGUAUUCAAAUUGUCAGAGGUGAAAUUCUUGGAUUUAUUGAAGGAUUAACUAACUGGAAAGCAUUUGCCAAGGGAUGUUUUCAUUAAUUCCAGUGGAACGAAAGUUAGGGGGAAUCGAAGGACGAUCAGAUACCG